UAACUGCUGCUCUUAUAUUGAAGCUCCUCUGCAUCUUUAAAGAACUGUAGACUUCUGAUCAAAAAAGAAAAAUCCCUGUAACUGACCAUAAAACAUUUGUUAAUCAAAAACCAAGAUUCAAGGUUCAGAAAUCACAAGAAGAAAUAAACAGACAACGAUUUUUGCCUCAUGGUGAUUUUUCCUUUCGGCACGGUCGUAGCUGGCAAAGCAUUAUCGCCAUUGUUAGCCAUAGAUCGACUCUCAUGUAUCACAUCUGUUGUGUAUAGGUAAUAGACUGUGCACACAGAACAUAAUUUCUGUGGGAUAGAAUUUUAAUUUCAUUUUAUGUUCUUGCAAGAUUGCAUCUUGAUUUUCUACCCUUUACUUUGAAUUGCAAAUUAUCGUUGAAUACGAAUUCUUCUGUUCAGCUGAUUGCUCUAUAAUUAACUCAAGAAUAAAUUCUUUUAAAAAAAAAAUCUCAAGCAUAGAGAGACAAACAAUUUGUACCAUUUACACUAUAUCCUAAUAUAGCAGCCAAGAAAUAGAAGUGAAAGAUGUCAAUAUUUAUCACUUACCCCAAGAGUUGGGUGAAUCUCACAUGCAUCCACACCAUUUGGAUCACCUCAACUCAGCAUGCAAACAUUGAGUUCCUCUUUUACUAUUAAUUACUUGAGGAUCAAAUCUUUAAACAAAAUUUAGAGCAGUCAUUUCAAUUAAAAAAUUUAAGAGGAAAUGAGAUAUUAGUGCAAUAUAUCACAACAUAAAUGUAUCUCUAAGCAGGAUGUGCAAUGGCUAUAUUAUAAUUGGUAAUUUGAAAUUGAUUUUUUAUUACAAAAAAAUUGUUAAUUAUUAUCCUUUGUUGUUUUACCCUUCCCGUUACACUUGGCUUAACUUGUUCAGAUUAGAGACAAUUAAGUAUGAUUCUUAAAAGUAGUUUAAAGCACCAGAAAAUCAUAACUCAAAUUUAUCUUCAUUUUAUUUUUGACAUUCAACACAAGGAUCAUUUUUUUUUCAACACAAGGAUCAUAUAUAUUGGAUGUACUUCUUACAUUUAUCUAUGAAGAAAAAAAUAUAAGCUAAUAUGUGUGUGUGUAUUUCAUACUUCAAAUUCAUAUCAAAAUUGGGUAUUUAAACAGUUAACACCUUAAUUUUAUAGUGGAUUAUCACUUUGAUAAAGUUUGUUAUAUCUCGUCACAUGACUCAAAUUUUUUCAAUAUGACAAAAAUUCUAACCAUAUGCUAGUAUCAUCUUUUUUUCUCAUUCAUAAUCAAAACAAAAGGGAAAAUUGUACAAAUCAUUCCUCACAUAUUAACGAUGUGAAAAUUUAGUCCCUGAGAACGAAAACGAGCAUUUUUAGUCCAUUACAAACAAAAAAUGAUCAAAUUUGGUCCCUGUUAGCUUUUUCGUGUGAAUUCUUGACGGACCCAGUCAUGUGAACAUUAUGUGACCAACUUUUGAGGGAUAAAAGGGGCAUUGCUAGUGCCAAAUUACUCUGGGCUUUGGUUCUGCCGUCAAAGAAGGAAAAGGAAAAUAAAAGCCAGCGAAAGAUGGAAAUUAAGCCAGGCAAACUCAGGUUCUGGCCCCGCCGCUUCUAGGUUGGAUUCAAUAAGUGGGAGCACUAAUUUAGUUAGGUUCACACUUGAUAAAAUUAAGGCUGCCACCAAGAAUUUUUCGAGGAAGAACAUAAUUGGAAGAGGAGGGUAUGGGAAUGUGUACAAGGGUGUAUUGCCUGAUGGCUCUGAAGCGGCAUUGAAGAGGUUCAAGAAUUGUUCUGCUUUCGGGGAUGCCACUUUCAUGCACGAGGUUGAGGUCAUUGCCAGCAUUAGGCAUGUCAAUUUCGUCCAAAUUACUCUUCUAAAGCCAUUGAUAGAUUACAGCAACAAUGACCAUAAAUAGUAUCAUAUUCAUUCUGCGCUCUUUGAGUUUUCUUUUCUCCACAUCAAUCUCCAAAUCUUUCACCUUCUUUGUUAACCUUUAUGUGUGCCUCACCAGUUUAUUGCACCUCUCAUAGCCGCUGGUUUCAUGCCAUUUGAAGUACCCACGGCCGCCUCCGCCAUUAUUAUGCUAGUCAUGGAGAACGGAGCUCAGAUUCUCCAAAAAAGGAAAACAAAAUAUUCUGAAUUAAAAACUUACUUCAUAAUAGGCACAUCCAUAGAAUUUCUUUCCUGGAUUCUUAGCUGUCCACGAAAUCUUCACUGUGGCUGGUAUACCGCAGCUACAGUUUGGUGGUUCUCCCAUGACAAUUUCAAAGAAAUUUAGGGAUUUGAAAUGCUUUGAAGGAAGAAAGAUACUGGUCCUCUACAUUUUGGUCAAGAUCCGAGUGACUUGCCCUUUUUGUCCCUCAAAAGUUGGUCACGUGAUGUUCACAUGACUGGGUCCGU
rnacentral:lncRNA from 1 species